rnacentral:rRNA from 1 species
CAGUAGCCGCGGUAAUACGUAGGUGGCAAGCGUUAUCCGGAAUUAUUGGGCGUAAAGCGCGCGUAGGCGGUUUUUUAAGUCUGAUGUGAAAGCCCACGGCUCAACCGUGGAGGGUCAUUGGAAACUGGAAAACUUGAGUGCAGAAGAGGAGAGUGGAAUUCCAUGUGUAGCGGUGAAAUGCGUAGAGAUUAGGAGGAACACCAGUGGCGAAGGCGGCUUUUUGGCCUGUAACUGACACUGAGGCGCGAAAGCGUGGGGAGCAAACAGGAUUAGAGACCCCAGUAGUCCCUGUCUCUUAUAC